rnacentral:rRNA from 1 species
CCUACGUGAGGCAGCAGUGGGGAAUAUUGCACAAUGGGGGAAACCCUGAUGCAGCGACGCCGCGUGCGUGAAGCAGUAAUUCGUUAUGUAAAGCUCUAUCAGCAGGGAAGAAAAUGACGGUACCUGAGUAAGAAGCCCCGGCUAACUACGUGCCAGCAGCCGCGGUAAUACGUAGGGGGCAAGCGUUAUCCGGAUUUACUGGGUGUAAAGGGAGCGUAGACGGCAGUGCAAGUCUGGAGUGAAAGGCGGGGGCUCAACCCCCGGACUGCUGUGGAAACUGUACGGUUGGAGUGCAGGAGAGGUAAGUGGAAUUCCUAGUGUAGCGGUGAAAUGCGUAGAUAUUAGGAGGAACACCAGUGGCGAAGGCGGCUUACUGGACUGUAACUGACGUUGAGGCUCGAAAGCGUGGGGAGCAAACAGGAUUAGAUACCCCUGUAGUC